GACCAGAACAAGUAGGAUUCAUACAGCUAGAAAAACAGUUAACCCUUUUUGACAGAAUAGCUCAAUAUUUUCAUAAAGACCAACUGAAAAAAAUUAUUUUUAGCCCAAAAUGAGUAAAAUGCAAUCAUAAAAAAUAAAAAAAAUU